CAAAGGCUUGGUCCUGACUUUUCUAUCAAUUCUAACUAGACUUACACAUGCAAGUAUCCGCACCCCAGUGAAGAUGCCCACAGUUCCCCGCCCGGGAACAAGGAGCUGGUAUCAGGCACACCCUAGGUAGCCCAUGACACCUUGCUUUAGCCACACCCCCACGGGGAAUUCCAGCAGUGAUAGACAUUAAGCCAUAAGCGAAAGCUUGACUUAGUUAAAGUUAAAUCAGGGCCGGUAAAUCUCGUGCCAGCCACCGCGGUUAAACGGGAGGCUCAAGUUGAUAGACACCGGCGUAAAGCGUGGUUAAGGACCCAACUUUUACACUAAAGCCGAACGCUACCAGAGCAGUGAUACGCACCGAGAGUAAGAAGAUCAAUUACGAAAGUAGCUUUAUUUAAACCUGACCCCACGAAAGCUAAGGCACAAACUGGGAUUAGAUACCCCACUAUGCUUAGCCUUAAACAUAGACAGUUGCUUAUUCCCACUGUCCGCCAGGGUACUACGAGCAUUAGCUUGAAACCCAAAGGACUUGGCGGUGCUUUAGACCCACCUAGAGGAGCCUGUCCUGGAACCGAUAAUCCCCGUUCAACCUCACCUUUUCUAGCCCUAUAUCAGCCUAUAUACCGCCGUCGUCAGCUUACCCUGUGAAGGUAUUAAAGUAAGCGUAAUUGGUAUUACCCAGUACGUCAGGUCGAGGUGUAGCUUAUGGAAAGGGAAGAGAUGGGCUACAUUCCCUCCCCCCAGGGAACACGAACGGCGCACUGAAACGUGUGCACUGAAGGAGGAUUUAGAAGUAAGCAGGAAGUAGAGUGUCCUGCUGAACCCGGCGCUGAAGCGCGUACACACCGCCCGUCACUCUCCCCAAGUCUACCAAUACCGUAUAACUAAUACGCUAAAACUUGCAAAGGGGAGAUAAGUCGUAACAUGGUAAGCGUACCGGAAGGUGUGCUUGGACUAA
rnacentral:ncRNA from 1 species